AUGGUUGUGCUAAAGCUUGAUUUUCAAAAAGCUUUUGAUAGUGUUAGCUGGGAGGCCCUGAAAAAAAUCCUCGCGGCAAAGGGUUUCGGAGAGAGAUGGAUCAAGUGGGUGGAUGAUAUUCUAACAACUAGCUCCUCUAGAAUCUUUGUCAAUGGAAGCCCAGGCGAACAGAUCCUAUCCAAGUGUGGGCUACGACAGGGAGACGCCCUGUCCCCGUACCUUUUUAUUCUGGUAGCGGAUGUUCUCCAACAGCUCUGUAAAAGGGAGCAUCACCAGGGGAACCUUGUGCACCCCGCAGACGGGCCUUUACCCAUUCUGCAAUACGCAGAUGACACGAUGAUCUUGUUAAGAGGAGACACCCAACAAGCGGCAGUUAUCAAGCAGAUUCUAGAUGACUUCAGCAACUUCUCUGGUCUGAAAAUAAACUAUCACAAGAGCACCUUUGUUCCCAUUGGUAUAGACCAGCAAACUUCCCAAGAUAUCACUUUCCUUGCACUUACCUGGGGUUAUCACUUUCCCUUGGCAAGAUACACCAUGGUUUGUUGA
rnacentral:rRNA from 1 species